rnacentral:misc_RNA from 1 species
UGCGGCUGGAUCCCCUCCUUUCUGGAGCGACGAGUAGCGGUGGCCCUCGGGCCGCCCUGAAAGUCUCUCGGAUGUCGCCCGCACUGCGCCGCCAUAGCUCACAUUGAUUCUGCUCUUUGACAACUGAAGGCUGGAUGUGGAAUUGGGAAUCCAAACCGUAGUCUGUGGCCGGCCGACGAGGCCGGUCCAGUAGAUCAAUUCGAGAUCAAACGCAAUAAGGCACACGGUGGAUGCCUUGGCAUCGAGAGGCGAUGAAGGACGUGGUAAGCUGCGAAAAGCCUGGGGGAGCUGCACACGAGCUGUGAUCUCAGGAUGUCCGAAUGGGGAAACCCGG